rnacentral:RNase_P_RNA from 1 species
UCAGAUGGCUGGAUGGCCGCUCUCCGGGUAACCGGGGGGAGGAAAGUCCGGGCUCCACGGAAAUACGGUGCCGGAUAACGUCCGGCGGGGGAAACCCCAGGGAAAGUGCCACAGAAAGCAAACCGCCGGCUCAAGCGGCCCCUCACGGGACCGCCGGCAGGCAAGGGUGAAAGGGUGCGGUAAGAGCGCACCGCGCGCCCGGCAACGGGAGCGGCACGGCAAACCCCACCGGGAGCAAGACCAAGUAGGGACGGCAUGCCGGUCGGAAAGCCCGUCAGGGCUUGAUUGGCAAGGCGCAUUUCCGCGCUGUCGUCCGGGUCGGUCGCGCGAGGCGUCCGGUAACGGGCGUCCCAGAUGAAUGGCCAUCCAUCCGCCCUCGGGCGGGGGACAGAACCCGGCUUAUAGGCCAUCUGACGCA